rnacentral:rRNA from 1 species
UACGGAGGGGGCUAGCGUUGUCCGAAGUUACUGGGCGUAAAGCGCGCGUAGGCGGGUUGGUAAGUCCGCUGUGAAAGCCCGGAGCUCAACUCCGGAGGUCGGUGGAUACUGGCCAGUCUUGAAGGUGCUAGGGGGAGAUGGAAUUGACCGGUGUAGCGGUGAAAUGCGUAGAUAAUCGGUAGGAACACCAGUGGCGAAGGCGGCAUUC